AUUGAACGCUGGCGGAAUGCUUUACACAUGCAAGUCGAGCGGCAGCACGGGGGCAACCCUGGUGGCGAGCGGCGAACGGGUGAGUAAUACAUCGGAACAUGCCCAGUCGUGGGGGAUAACACUUCGAAAGAAGUGCUAAUACCGCAUACGUCCUGCGGGGGAAAGCGGGGGAUCGCAAGACCUCGCGCGAUUGGAGUGGCCGAUGUCAGAUUAGCUAGUUGGUGGGGUAAAGGCCUACCAAGGCAACGAUCUGUAGCUGGUCUGAGAGGAUGAUCAGCCACACUGGGACUGAGACACGGCCCAGACUCCUACGGGAGGCAGCAGUGGGGAAUUGUGGACAAUGGGGGCAACCCUGAUCCAGCCAUUCCGCGUGAGUGAAGAAGGCCUUCGGGUUGUAAAGCUCUUUCUGCAGGAACGAAACGGUGAGCUCUAACAUAGCUUGCUAAUGACGGUACCUGAAGAAGAAGCACCGGCUAACUACGUG
rnacentral:rRNA from 1 species